GAUAAACGCUGGCGGCGCACAUAAGACAUGCAAGUCGAACGGACUUAACUCAUUCUUUACGAUUGAGAGCGGUUAGUGGCGGACUGGUGAGUAACACGUAAGCAACCUGCCUAUCAGAGGGGAAUAACAGUGAGAAAUCAUUGCUAAUACCGCAUAUGCUAACAGUAUCGCAUGAUACAGUUAGGAAAGGAGCAAUCCGCUGAUAGAUGGGCUUGCGUCUGAUUAGCUAGUUGGUGAGGUAACGGCCUACCAAGGCGACGAUCAGUAGCCGGACUGAGAGGUUGAACGGCCACAUUGGGACUGAGAUACGGCCCAGACUCCUACGGGAGGCAGCAGUCGGGAAUAUUGCGCAAUGGAGGAAACUCUGACGCAGUGACGCCGCGUAUAGGAAGAAGGUUUUCGGAAUGUAAACUAUUGUCGUUAGGGAAGAGAAAGGACGGUACCUAAGGAGGAAAGCCCCCGGGCUAACCUAAUGUGCCAGCAG
rnacentral:rRNA from 1 species